GCUGGCGGUAUGCCUAACACAUGCAAGUCGAACGGGGUAGCAAUACCCAGUGGCGGACGGGUGAGUAACACGUAAGAAUCUGCCUUUUGGUCGGGGAUAACAGUGGGAAACCACUGCUAAUACCGGAUGAGCUGAGAAGUAAAAGAUUUAUUGCCAAAAGAGGAGCUUGCGUCUGAUUAGCUAGAUGGUGAGGUAAGAGCUUACCAUGGCAACGAUCAGUAGCUGGUCUGAGAGGAUGAGCAGCCACACUGGGACUGAGACACGGCCCAGACUCCUACGGGAGGCAGCAGUGGGGAAUUUUCCGCAAUGGGCGAAAGCCUGACGGAGCAAUACCGCGUGAGGGAGGAAGGCUCUUGGGUUGUAAACCUCAAAACUUAGGGAAGAAAAAAAUGACGGUACCUAAUAUAAGCAUCGGCUAACUCCGUGCCAGCAGCCGCGGUAAUACGGAGGAUGCAAGCGUUAUCCGGAAUCAUUGGGCGUAAAGAGUCCGUAGGCGGCUAAUCAAGUCUGCUGUCAAAAACCGAAGCUCAACUUCGGGAAGGCGGUAGAAACUGAAGAGCUAGAGUACAGAAGGGGUAGAGGGAAUUCCCAGUGUAGCGGUGAAAUGCGUAGAGAUUGGGAAGAACACCAGUGGCGAAGGCGCUCUACUGG
rnacentral:rRNA from 1 species